UGGGGAAUAUUGCACAAUGGAGGGAACUCUGAUGCAGCGACGCCGCGUGAACGAAGAAGGCUUUCGAGUCGUAAAGUUCUUUUAUAUGGGAAGAUAAUGACGGUACCAUAAGAAAAAGCCCUGGCUAACUACUUGCCAGCAGCCGCGGUAAUACGUAGGGGGCUAGCGUUGUCCGGAAUCACUGGGCGUAAAGGGUUCGCAGGCGGAAAUGCAAGUCAGGUGUAAAAGGCAGUAGCUUAACUACUGUAAGCAUUUGAAACUGCAUAUCUUGAGAAGAGUAGAGGUAAGUGGAAUUUUUAGUGUAGCGGUGAAAUGCGUAGAUAUUAAAAAGAAUACCGGUGGCGAAGGCGACUUACUGGGCUCAUUCUGACGCUGAGGAACGAAAGCGUGGGUAGCAAACAGG
rnacentral:rRNA from 1 species